rnacentral:rRNA from 1 species
AGCGAACGCUGGCGGCAGGCCUAACACAUGCAAGUCGAGCGCCCCGCAAGGGGAGCGGCAGACGGGAGAGUAACACGUGGGAACGUACCCUUCGGUUCGGAACAACCCAGGGAAACUUGGGCUAAUACCGGAUACGUCCGCAAGGAGAAAGAUUCAUCGCCGAGGGAUCGGCCCGCGUCUGAUUAGCUAGUUGGUGGGGUAACGGCCCACCAAGGCGACGAUCAGUAGCUGGUCGGAGAGGCUGAUCAACCUCACUGGGCGUGAGACACGGCCCGGACUACUACGGGAGGCAGCAGUGGGGAAUGUUGGACAAUGGGGGCAAGCCUGAUCCAGCCAUGCCGCGUGGGUGAUGAAGGCCCUAGGGUUGUAAAGCCCUUUCGGCGGGGAAGAUAAUGACGGUACCCGCAGAAGAAGCCCCGGCUAACUUCGUGCCAGCAGCCGCUGUAACAC